rnacentral:lncRNA from 1 species
CAAGGUGGCAAACAAGAGUACAGCCUGGUGGCCAGAGAAAGAGAGACAACAAAGGUCUGGAAGCUUCCCUUGGGACAGCAAGGGCAAGGAUGUAGACACAGAAGAUAGGCUGGUAAUUAGAGCUUGGAAAACCCGUGACGUCCCUGGAAACUCUAGGGCUGAGAAUUCGGUGCUUGUAGAGGCCAGAAGAGGAUGUCAGAUCCCCUGGAGCUGGAGUUACACAGGUGGUUGUGAGCUGCCCAGCAUGGACACUGGGGACUGAACUCCUGUCCUCUGAAGGAGCAAGAAACACUCCUCAAUGCCAAGCCAUCCCUCCAGCCCCUCAAACUGGUCUUGAAGAGGCAAAAUAUUUUUCUUAUCCUACAGGUGGUGUGGCCUUGAGCAAGCAACUCCACAUUUCUGCUGUAAGCCUCAUCUGUACACUGAGG